rnacentral:snRNA from 1 species
CCGGUAUAGUGUAGGUGGUUAUCAUACGACG